CAGUCGCCACGGUAAUACGUAGGGUGCAAGCGUUAAUCGGAAUUACUGGGCAUAAAGCGUGCGCAGGCGGUUUUGUAAGUCUGACGUGAAAGCCCCGGGCUCAACCUGGGAAUUGCGAUGAAGACUGCAAGGCUUGAAUCUGGCAGAGGGGGGUAGAAUUCCACGUGUAGCAGUGAAAUGCGUAGAGAUGUGGAGGAACACCGAUGGCGAAGGCAGCCCCCUGGGUCAAGAUUGACGCUCAUGCACGAAAGCGUGGGGAGCAAACAGGAUUAGAGACCCGCGUAGUCCCUGUCUCUUAUAC
rnacentral:rRNA from 1 species